AGAUGCCUCCUUGUUCCAGGCUGACAAGCCCGGUCUUGUGCUUAUUUCACUGUCUAACCCUGCCCAGGCCCCGGGGAGAAGCCUGGUAUUCUUCGUGUUUAUUUAACUGUCAACUCUCUGUGUUCUAAGACGAUACCCUGGCCUUGACUCAGUACAACCUAAGACUGUAAGUCCCAUCAUGUCUAUGGACUUCAGUUUCCGGACAUGAAACACAAGAGGCUUGGACGAGAUUAGAAAUCAAGAACUCGAAUGCGUAUGGUCAGAGCCACGAGAGUUUCCAUAAAGGAACACAACCAUGUGGACAACUUGAUUAUGCCCUACAAAACUGGAUUCCUGUGAGCAUUCCUCUUCAAGAUGGAAGAAAAAGGGAACAUUUCACAGCCCCUAUGGUGCAACGUCUGCCUGUAGCCAACAAUACAAUCUUCUUGCCCUGUCACCCAGGCUGAAAUGCAGUGGUGCCAUCUCGUCUCACUCGGCUCACUGCAACCUCUGCCU
rnacentral:lncRNA from 1 species